rnacentral:rRNA from 1 species
AACGAGCGCUGGCGGCAGGCCUAACACAUGCAAGUCGAACGGGAAGCCACCUUCGGGUGGUGGACAGUGGCAGACGGGUGAGUAACACGUGGGAACGUACCCUUUGGUUCGGAAUAACUUGGGGAAACUCAAGCUAAUACCGGAUAAGCCCUUAUGGGGAAAGGUUUACUGCCGAAGGAUCGGCCCGCGUCUGAUUAGCUAGUUGGUGAGGUAAUGGCUCACCAAGGCGACGAUCAGUAGCUGGUCUGAGAGGAUGAUCAGCCACACUGGGACUGAGACACGGCCCAGACUCCUACGGGAGGCAGCAGUGGGGAAUAUUGGACAAUGGGGGCAACCCUGAUCCAGCCAUGCCGCGUGAGUGAUGAAGGCCUUAGGGUUGUAAAGCUCUUUUACCCGGGACGAUAAUGACUGUACCGGGAGAAUAAGCCCCGGCUAACUUCGUGCCAGCCGCCGCGGUAACAC